ACCGCUAAGGAACGGCGGACUGUUAAUCCGUAUGUCACUGGUUCGAGUCCAGUCAGAGGAGCCA
rnacentral:tRNA from 1 species